rnacentral:lncRNA from 1 species
UGCAAAUAGAAAUAGACACAUUCUCUUACUUCCCUUUCCUCCACUCUUCCCCCACCUCCAAGUGUGGAAACAGAAAGGACCUGUCUUUUCCUACAUUGAGGAGGCAAGGCAAGAGUGAGGCAUGGGAGAGCUGGGUGAAUCUGAUGAAAAGCAGUGAGAGGGAAAAUGAAGAGGCCACCCAACCCCCACCUGGAAGGGGCAAAGAGAAGCAAGGGGCAAAGAAACCAGAGUUUGUGUUUGUACCCCAAUGCUGGACUGGCUGAGGAGUCCUGUCUCCGACUGUUCCUCAGGUUAGAGGGCCUGGGCACCAGCAGGUCCCCUUUUGCUCCCCUUUCAUAGGCCUAGGGUGGGUAUGAGCCAGGGACCUGAAGAGAGACAUCACUGGAUCCUUCCCUGGCCCCAAAGUUCAAAUCCCAUGGAGAACCCAGCACUAGAUUCCACCCCCAUCCCCCACUUUUGGAGAGACUAUGCUGGGAACAUGCCCCCACCACUGAGCCUGAGGGGAUGAAGGCAGAGAGGAGUUCUCUUUUCUACUUGUUUAUUCCUACUCAGACUGUUGCACACACUAACCUUGGGAGUUCCUAGAAUAGAAAUCCUUAGGUUUUAAUUCCAGCCCUGUUUCCACCUACAGAGUCCCAACGUGGUUAUUGCAGGCAAAGUUCCCUCUCUCGGUGGUCUAGAAGCCCCUCCCCCAAGGUAGAAAGAAGGGAAGAAGCUAACUACAGUGUUUCCGUUGCACUGAUCCCCAAUUCAGUCCAGGAGGGGGCUUGGUAACCCCUCUCCCUCAAUAUCCUGGCACCUUGGGCUUGUGAACACCUCCUAGCCAAAUCACUAGAGUACAGUGACCCCAGCCUCCUGCCUGUCCCAAGUGAGCCCUCCCCACCCUGACCGUGCUAACUGUGUGUACAUAUAUAUUCUACAUAUAUGUAUAUUAAACCCGCACUGCCAUGUGUACCCUUUUUCUGUGGUGUCUAGCAUUAACUUAUUGUCAAGGCCCGGGUGGGGGUGGAAGGAGAACGCCACACUGAAGGGAGUGGCAGAGUCAAAUUGCUAUAU